CUGCCCCCAAAGGGCCUCGUAGAGGGAAAAGAAAAACGGAAGCCAAAAAAGAGAAAUCCUCGCCGCCGUCCCUCACGGCGACGGUCACCGCGACCCCGACCCCGACGACGACGACGGCGCCCACCAUGUCAUCGUGCGCCCCCGUCCCCACGCUGCAGCCCGACGAGCGGGCCGACCUCCUCUCCCUGCUCGCCGGCGCGGCCCGCCCGCUCGCGGACGUCGUCUCCGACUUCCUUGCGCGGUUCCCCCGCGAGCGCCGCCUCCGCGUCGGCGGGGCGCUCUGCUUCCUCCUCGAGGACAAGAAGAUGCUCCAUCCUACUGGUCGUUUAAUUGCAUUUGCAAUUCUUCAUCAGAGCUAUUCCCCACAGACAGCGAAUCCAUACAUUCCUAUGUUGUUAGAUGGAGCCUGCGAUGAAACAUCGGAUAAAUCAGAACGGGCAUUUGUCCAACUAUUAUUGACUUCAUCCAGUGGAAACAAUAAUAAUGAGGUCCUGAAUCAGUCAGCUGUAGAUUACAUAAAUGGGUCUGUUUCCGCAUCUCAGGUCUUGUUGCCACGGGAACAACUUGAGAAGCAAUAUUGUAGUAACGGUGUACAAUCUCAGCCUCAGAUUAGUAGUUUCAGACCUGCUGCUGUUAGAAGUGUUAUACCAGAUCCAGAUGUGCCUCAAAGUUGUGCAAAUUCAUCGGAGUCUGCGAUAUCAUUACCUGGAAGCAAACAGAAAUCUUCUUCUGAUGAUAGAGAUUCUGCUCUUGCUGGUUUACUCCAAGAAAAAUCGGGGGGAAGGUUGGGUCCUCAGUGGAUUCGGCCAACACCCCCAAGACUUCCUGUACUAGAUGGGGAGCUACAGUGGCUGAACCCUGACAAUAACCAUGAGUUAUUAUGGGAUUAUAGCAUGUGUGCUGAUACGAGUCGAGGGGCUGCUAUCCGAGAUUUGAUUGCAAGAGCCUUAAAAGGUCCACUUGCACCUGCCCAACAGGAGGUUCACUGCUACAUUCUAAUAUUUAACAAUGGGUGUUUUACUAAAUUCUUAUUGCAGCGAUUCAUAAUAGAACUGGCAAAUGAUCCUAAACUGGUUUAUUACUGCGGGAUGACUCCACAGAAGCUUCCUGAUCUUGUUGAACACAAUCCUCUCAUUGCUGUUGAGGUUCUUUCGAAGUUAAUUAACUCUCCUGACAUUUCAGGUUACUUUGCUGGUCUUGUGCAUAUGGACAUGAGCCUGCAUUCUAUGGAAGUUGUGAAUAGGCUUACUACUGCUGUUGAUCUUCCAACGGAGUUUGUCCACGAGUACAUCACAAAUUGUAUCCAAUCAUGUCAAAACAUUAAGGAUAAGUACAUGCAAAACAGACUGGUGAGACUAGUUUGUGUUUUCCUGCAGAGCCUUAUCCGAAACAAGAUUAUAAACGGCGAGUAUAUAUAUUCUUCACUUGUAUGCUUGACAAAAUCAUGUUUUUGAUCUGCGUACUGUUGCUGAAGUGCUGCAAUUUCAGCAUUCUUGAUCCAAGAUAAUAGCUGUCCAACAUUACAAGUUUUGUAUCCCUGCUUUCUACCUCGUGUGCAGUAUUUCUAUCGACACCUUUACUUUAGUUCUUUACAACUGGGUAUGCUAUUUUUUGUGUGCGCACUAUUGUAUGCUAGUUACUUAUCUUGCCUUUCAUUCCCCGCAGCAUUUUGAAAAUGCAAAUGUUCUUAAACUACUUGUUGGCCUACACGUUCAAGAUCUUUUCAUUGAGGUACAAGCAUUCUGUAUUGAAUUUUCACGGAUAAGGGAAGCAGCUGGUUUAUUCCGGUUACUCAAAUCUUUGGAGUGAAGGAAUUAUAGACUGGUUGUAUCAACAACGAAUGUUUGAACUUUUCUUGUUCUGGAUAGUUCUCUGGCCACUCUGGGUGUUCAAGAUCACUUGGUACAUUAAGCGCAUCAUUUUCUUGUGGAAUGCGUGGCACCCUUACUAAUUACCAAGCAUACACUUGAAAGAAUGAUUAAAGAGCAUGCCAAGAGCAGAGUCAGUCUGUCGGAUAACAUGUGGUAUCAAUUGUUGGCACAAGUUUAGAUCAGUCUGUACUUUGUAGGCUCAUUUGUACGGCAAUGAAUAAUACUUGCACCCUUCGUUCAAAUCUUCUGUAAUUUCAGUGUAACCAAAACAAUCCGCAAUCUGUUUUCUUGUAGUCUGUUGGUGUGUUUGCUUGGUGCGGGAUGGUUUGAUUUUUUUUUCCAGAAUUGGUUUUCCAUUCUGUGUACAUUACAUGACUACACGAGGCAUGUCAGCCUUUCACAUCAAACUUGGUUGUGUGUGUUACUUU